UACAGAGGGUGCGAGCGUUGUUCGGAAUUAUUGGGCGUAAAGAGCGUGUAGGCGGCCAUACAGGUCCGUUGUGAAAACUGGAGGCUUAACCUCCAGACGUCGAUGGAAACCGUAUGGCUAGAGUCCGGAAGAGGAGAGUGGAAUUCCUGGUGUAGCGGUGAAAUGCGCAGAUAUCAGGAAGAACACCCGUGGCGAAGGCGGCUCUCUGGGACGGUACUGACGCUGAGACGCGAAAGCGUGGGGAGCGAACAGG
rnacentral:rRNA from 1 species